rnacentral:rRNA from 1 species
GCAAGUCGAACGUUAACAGAGGAAAGCUUGCUUUCUUGCUGACGAGUGGCGCACGGGUGAGUAAUGCAUAGGUAACGUGCCCCUUAGUCUGGGAUAGCCACUGGAAACGGUGAAUAAUACCGGAUACUCCUUCUACCUUGAUGGUAGUCGGGAAAGUUUUUCGCUAAGGGAUCGGCCUAUGUCCUAUCAGGUAGUUGGUGAGGUAAAAGCUCACCAAGCCUAUGACGGGUAGCGGGUCUGAGAGGAUGAUC